UGUCCAGAGGCAACCCGCUGACAAAGAGUGUCCUCACCUGGAAAAGAAGAAAGAAGGUUCCUGGGGAUACUCUUCAUCCCUAACUUGGCUUCCUGCAGCCAGAGGGACAAUGCCAGCCCAGAGGGAAGCUCCUGGGCAGCCAAAAGCCUUAAGCCGCAAUUGAGCGAUGCAGAAUUUUUGGGAGGGGUGUCCCCAUCCUUCAGGUGACCACGGAGGAAGCUGCUAAGGCACCAUGGAAAGGUAACGGAGACCUGUCCUCACCCCACAGAGUGCUCUCUGGGCUGAAAAAGCUUCCAGCAUCCCAGCACCUUCCUACCCCGGUCUGGCAAACAGGAUCUCUCCCGGCAUCCCCAGCGGAUCCAGGACUCUGCAGACAAUGCCUAUUGUCUCAUUUUAAUUGCAGCAGCUCAUUAAGGACUGGGAGAAGCAAAUCCCAGCUCUUCCUCCUGGAGGAAUGGCCGGCCCUGGUUUGGAGGGGGCUGGGUUUAAGCAGCUUGUCCCUGGUUUGUAGAAGUCACCUUUUAAGGGGUUUUAACCCUUUUUUGAUGGAUCUAAUGUUUGUGGUGGUGCAGCAUCCUCAAAGCUGGUGUGUUUGGCAGAAAUCCCGCUCCCACCAACUCCGAGGCGGGAUGUGGGGCUCCCCAGGGAUAGGCAAGCCCUGUGCUGGGAUGGUUUUGCUUUGCAACCAGCUCAUAACUGGUGAAGCAAUGUGGGGAACUGGGUCUGCUGCCAGUUCCCCCUCUCCUCAUCCACAAAAUCUCAUCUGAACACUUUGGGCUGGAGGAGGGGAAAACUUUGAUUUAUUUUAUUUUAUUUUUUUGGCCACGCACCCUGCCUGCCCCAUUCCCUGGGAAAGAGACAUGGGAAACUGCCAGAAACAGCCAGCCCAGGCCUAUUCUUCUGCUGACAUUUCUUCUUUCUCUUGCAGAUAAGCUAUCUCCCCCAUCUCCCAGCCUGGGAGCAGCAAACAUUCCUGCUUUGUGGAACAAAACCUCUGGCUGACCUGUAUCUGUUAAAUAACAAAAGGUACCAGCAUCCAGGCCGGAUGGGAUCAGCACAGGGGUGUCCUCACCCCUUCCUGAGCCAGGGCUGCAGGCAGGCACAGCCUGAUAGCCUGUCCUCUCUAGUGGAGCCACCCAAGGUGGGCUGGAAGCCCCCCCAAAGCACCUUGGGGGACCUCUGCCAGACUUCUGCUGUCUCCCAAGACCAGAGGGUGAUGGAGCGUCCCAAGGCAUUCAAUAUUGCUCUGUCUCCCCAUGGAGACAGUGCCCAAAUUUCUCCCAGCAGGGAGGCAGGAGGAGCUCCCCUUGUGCUCAUGAAAUUCAAUGUAAAGAAAACAAAUUUAUCCUUUCCUUGGGGAAAUAAAUAUUUCCUUUCAGACA